rnacentral:tRNA from 1 species
GCCGAUGUUCUCAGUAGUUAGAGUGUCAGUCCAUGUACUGAAAGGUCAUGGGUUCAAUUCCUGUCAAGGGCA